rnacentral:tRNA from 1 species
UCCCUGAUGGUCCAGUGCCUAAGACUCUGCACUCUCAAUGCAGGUGGCAUGGGUUCAAUCCCCGGUCAGGGAA